rnacentral:rRNA from 1 species
AACGAACGCUGGCAGCGUGCCUAAUACAUGCAAGUCGAGCGGACAGAGGGGAGCUUGCUCCCGGGAGUUAGCGGCGGACGGGUGAGUAACACGUGGGCAACCUACCCUGUAGAUCGGGAUAACAUCGAGAAAUCGGUGCUAAUACCGGAUAAUCAUUUGAAGUGCAUGCUUCGAAUGUAAAAGAUGGCUCCGGCUAUCACUACGGGAUGGGCCCGCGGCGCAUUAGCUAGUUGGUAAGGUAAUGGCUUACCAAGGCAACGAUGCGUAGCCGACCUGAGAGGGGAAACGGCCACGCUGGGACUGAGACACGGCCCAGACUCCUACGGGAGGCAGCAGUAGGGAAUCUUCCGCAAUGGACGAAAGUCUGACGGAGCAACGCCGCGUGAGUGAUGAAGGUUUUCGGAUCGUAAAGCUCUGUUGUUAGGGAAGAACAAGUGCCGUUUGAAUAAGGCGGCACCUUGACGGUACCUAACCAGAAAGCCACGGCUAACUACGUGCCAGCCGCCGCGGUAACAC